rnacentral:rRNA from 1 species
AUGGAGAUCGCGGCGGAGCCCGUGCGGCUCACGGAGGAGCAGCGCCGCCGCAUCGAGGCCAGCCGCCUCGCCGCCCUCGAGAGGCUCAAGCGCUCCGCCGCCGCCGCCGGCACCACCGCCGAGUCGUUCAGGCUCGCCAAGUGCCCAAGAAUCGCCCAUCCUCUGCCCCCGCGUCCGCCGCCGCAGCCGCUUCCGCCGCCUGCGCCCCCGACGGGGUUCCGGGCGGUGCUGGAGGUGUGCAGCCCCGACGAGUUCCAGGUGACGGUGGGCCGAACGGAGGGCAAGGCUUUCCCCGGGGAGGCCGACUGCCUCCGCGCCGUCGAGGACUGCGUCGCUUCGGCUGUACCAUUCUCCACAACACAAAGUCAAGGCGGGCAUAUUUCUUCUGUCUUUAAGCUUGUGCACUAUGAGCUGGUGUUGCAAUUCUUGAGGAAGUUGACUGGCGUUGUUGUGCAAGAUAUACCUUAUAGAACAAGGCGUGCUGUUCAAAAUGCUGGCACAAACUGCGGUUCUGAUAAAGAAGUUGACGAGCUUCUCAUGAAGCUGCCACGUCGAUUACGAGAUGCACUUCUACCCUUCCAACUUGAAGGUGUGAAAUUUGGGCUUCGGAGGCAAGGGCGCUGCCUUAUUGCAGAUGAGAUGGGGCUUGGCAAGACUCUCCAGGCAAUUGCAAUAGCUUGUUGCUUCAAGGACGAGGGCCCUCUAUUAAUAGUGUGUCCAGCUGUUCUGCGUUAUACUUGGGCGGAGGAAUUGGAACGCUGGGAUCCUUCAUUUCUUCCAAAAGAUAUUCAUCUUGGUACUGAUUCAGAGUUUCAUUAUUCAAGAGUUAAUUUUACUGAUGUCAAACCUGUGUUCGGUCGACGAGACAGUCUGGAAUAUUUAGAUUUUUGUCCGAAGGUCGUUGUUAUUUCAUACACGAUGUUAAGCAUCCUUCGGAAAAGUAUGAUUAAUAGGAGAUGGGCACUGAUGAUCAUUGAUGAAUCCCACAAUAUACGCUGCACAAAGAUGAAAGAAGAAAAUACUCAGACAAAAGCUGUACUGGAAAUAGCUCUCAAUAUCAACCGCAUUGUGUUGCUUUCUGGGACACCCUCUUUGUCAAGACCUUUUGACAUCUAUCACCAGAUAAAUAUGUUAUGUCCCCGUUUGCUUGGAGAUGAUAAAUUUGAAUUUGCAAAGACAUAUUGUUCACUGCAUGUUGCUCAAAGUUCCCAGGGUAAAAUUUACCAGGACUUUUCAAAAGGUGCUCGUUUGACAGAGUUAAAUGUUCUGCUCAGUCAGACUCUGAUGAUUAGGCGCUUGAAGGAGCAUUUGUUAAAUGAACUGCCGCCCAAGCGCCGGCAGAUCAUUAGGUUGAAGUUGAAGGCAUUGAAUAGCAGGACAGCCACCUCUAUUAUCCAAGGGGAUUACAAUAGCACAUAUAGUAGCUCUGAUGCUCCUAUAAUUGCCUCUUCUGAGAUAAGCAAUGACUGUGAAGAAGCAAAAGAGGGAAAAGAUGAUAGUUGCAAGAAAUCUCCAAGGCAUUUCUCCCCCCAGGAAAUUGGCAUUGCAAAAAUACCUGGGUUUAGUCAGUGGUUCUCAAAUCAUUUGAUGCAUGAUAAUCUGGACGCCCAGUCUAGUUGCCAGAAAACGCUAAUUUUCGCCCACCACUUGAAGGUUCUAGAUGGAGUGCAGGUGUUCCUCUCUGAGAAGGAGAUCAAGUUUGUUCGCAUCGAUGGCAGCGCACUUCCUAGAGAAAGGAAAGAAGCCGUUGAUUCUUUCCGUUUGAAUCCAGAGGUCAAGGUUGCAAUAAUAGGAAUUACUGCUGGUGGUGUUGGUUUAGACUUUUCAUCUGCUCAGAAUGUUGUUUUCCUGGAGCUCCCAAGAUCGUCUUCAGACUUACUUCAGGCCGAGGAUAGAGCUCAUAGGCGUGGUCAAACAAAUGCGGUCAAUAUAUAUAUAUUCUGCGCAAAGAACACAUCAGAUGAACCACAGUGGCUUCGCUUGAACCAGAGUCUGUUCCGUGUCUCGUCUGUGGUGAAUGGGAAGAAAGAUGCUAUAAGAGAAAUUGAGGUUGAUCAAGUUUACCACCUUGGGGAAAUCAGUAACACUAAGGAGAGACCAGAAAUUGAGUUUCUUCCGAAUUGUAAUGCAGGUCUUUUGGAAAGUGGCACUAUGUCUGUUGACCAUCUUCCUGGCAUCAGCGAUAUGGAGCUUGAGUCAGAUUUCACUAUUAGGACUAUUCCUCUACAGAUUGAGGAUGAAGGCCUUCAUUCAGGAAUGCAAUGUAGUCCAGGUCCAGCAGUACAUGAAGAUAUAGUCUGCAAUAGUUUUUCUAUUUCACCAGCUAUCUCUGGCUCUUCAAGUACACGAAGUAAAUCAAUGAAGGCUCGUAGGAGCUUUUGUGAAAAUCGUGAUACUUUAGGUCUUCCAGGAACUAUUUCAGAUGGCCGUAUUCGAGUGGAGUAUCUGCGUUUUGAGGUUAGCCAUCAUACAGGUCGAAUCCACUUGUACAUUUGUGUUCCAGGACAUGAUUCAAGACCCAGACCACUUUUUCAGAAUUUUCUUCCUGAAGAAGUAGAAUCACCUUUAUGCUCUAGUAGUGACAAGAAAGCAAGUAGGCAGCUCUUGAGUAAUCCAGCAUUUUGCAAUAUGUUCAAGGCAUUUGUAAAAGAAUGGUUAGAACUAAGACCAAUUGAUCAGAGGAAACUCCUGGGAAAGCCGUUACAGCUUCCAUUGAGCCUUGAGUUGUGCUAUUUGACAAAUAGCAUCAGCCACAGUACACAAGGAUUGAUUAAAGGGGGGAGUAAGAGGCGUAUAGCUCCAUUGAGUGUUGUCAGUGAUGAUUUGCCUGAAAAUGCUGAAUGGAGAAAGGUGGUUUUACGCCGUGGCACGACUAAAGAGAGAGAAUACACUCAAGGCUGGACUACUGAUGAUGAGCCUCUCUGCAAAUUAUGUCAAAAACUUUGCAAUGGGAAUCUUGCGAAAUCACCCGAAUAUUUUGAAGAUCUAUUCUGUAAGCUUGAUUGCUUCCGGUUGUACAGAUUGAGAACCAACCAGAGUGCCCUGCGGCAGGCACUGUUUCAAAUAGAACAUGGUAUAUGUUCCCAGUGCAAGCUUGACUGCUGCAAGCUCGUCAAACAUAUUAAACCCCUCAGCAACCCAAAGAGAGAAGCACACAUCAGGAGUGUUGCUCCAAAUAUUGCAUGUAGGAAGAAACUGCUAGCAAAGCUUGUCGAAGAGCCAACACAGGGAAAUGCUUGGCAUGCAGAUCAUAUAGUACCUGUGUAUAAAGGAGGAGGGGAAUGCACGCUCGAGAAUAUGAGGACGCUUUGCGUGGCUUGUCAUGCUGAGGUUACCAAAGCUCAGCAAAAGGAGCGAAAAGAAGCAAGAAAAGAAGAAAGAAGGAAGGCUGAAGAGCUUCUGAGAAAUGCCGUGAAUCAGCUGAAGGAUGAUGCAUGUGAAGCGACAGAAGACGACGAUUCUUGGUUGGUUACAGUCCCUGGCAGUGCCUACUCAGCAGUACCUCAGGCUCCUCGUACGCCCAGAAAAUAA